GUGGAGCAUGUGGCUUAAUUUGACUCAACGCGGGAAAUCUCACCGGGUCCGGACACACUGAGGAUUGACGGAUAUAUACCCCGUGAUUUUAUCGCGGGGUUGAAAGAUGCUAGUUCUUUCAUGAUUAUGUGAUAGGUGGUGCAUGGCCGUUCUUAGUUCGUGGAGUGAUCUGUCUGCUUAAUUGCGUAUCAAUAAUAGAGACCUAGUAUACGCGUA
rnacentral:rRNA from 1 species